rnacentral:snRNA from 1 species
AGGAAAUUUUGCUCUUUUAGAAUUUGUCCAGCAGGUCUUCAAGCAAUGAAGGCCCAC